GGAUAGCUCAGCUGGUUAGAGCAUGUGCUGAUAAGGCCAAGGUUGCAGGUUUGAUCCCUGUAUGGGACA